UACGUAGGGUGCAAGCGUUAAUCGGAAUUACUGGGCGUAAAGCGUGCGCAGGCGGUUAUGUAAGACAGGUGUGAAAUCCCAGGGCUUAACCUUGGAACUGCAUUUGUGACCGCAUAGCUAGAGUACGGUAGAGGGGGAUGGAAUUCCGCGUGUAGCAGUGAAAUGCGUAGAUAUGCGGAGGAACACCGAUGGCGAAGGCAAUCCCCUGGACCUGUACUGACGCUCAUGCACGAAAGCGUGGGGAGCAAACAGG
rnacentral:rRNA from 1 species